rnacentral:rRNA from 1 species
AUUGAACGCUGGCGGCAGGCUUAACACAUGCAAGUCGAGCGAGCGGCGGACGGGUGAGUAAUGUCUGGGAAACUGCCUGAUGGAGGGGGAUAACUACUGGAAACGGUAGCUAAUACCGCAUACCAUCAGAUGUGCCCAGAUGGGAUUAGCUAGUUGGUGGGGUAACGGCUCACCAAGGCGACGAUCCCUAGCUGGUCUGAGAGGAUGACCAGCCACACUGGAACUGAGACACGGUCCAGACUCCUACGGGAGGCAGCAGUGGGGAAUAUUGCACAAUGGGCGCAAGCCUGAUGCAGCCAUGCCGCGUGUAUGAAGAAGGCCUUCGGGUUGUAAAGUACUUUCAGCGGGGAGGCGUUACCCGCAGAAGAAGCACCGGCUAACUCCGUGCCAGCAGCCGCGGUAAUUC